GAUGAAGAACGUAGCGAAAUGCGAUAAGUAGUGUGAAUUGCAGAAUUCAGUGAAUCAUCGAAUCUUUGAACGCACAUUGCGCCCUCUGGUAUUCCGGAGGGCAUGCCUGUUCGAGCGUCAUUAAAACUACUCAAGCUAAGGUUUUACCUUCUGCUUGGUCUUGGGUUUGAGGAUUCAAAAUCCUCUCUCCGAAAUCCAGUGGCGAAUUGUUUGAGCUGUAGACGUAGUAAAUCAUUCUACCCGUUGCAAGCGAGAAUAAUAUUCAGCCAUAACCCCCAUACUUUUCUAGUUUGACCUCGGAUCAGGUAGGGAUACCCGCUGAACUUAAGCAUAUCAAUAAGCGGAGGA
rnacentral:misc_RNA from 1 species